rnacentral:rRNA from 1 species
UACGAAGGGGGCUAGCGUUGUUCGGAAUCACUGGGCGUAAAGCGCAUGCAGGCGGAUCGUUAAGUCGGGGGUGAAAGCCCGAGGCUCAACCUCGGAACUGCCUUCGAUACUGGCGAUCUUGAGUCCGGGAGAGGUGAGUGGAACUCCGAGUGUAGAGGUGAAAUUCGUAGAUAUUCGGAAGAACACCAGUGGCGAAGGCGGCUCACUGGCCCGGUACUGACGCUGAGACGCGAAAGCGUGGGUAGCAAACAGG